UCUCUGUUGAUGUGUAGGUUGAAUUCC
rnacentral:sRNA from 1 species